UGUGUACUCCCUCCGUUCCGAAUUACUUGUCGCGGGUAUGGAUGUAUUUAGAUGUAUUUUAGUUCUAAAUACAUCCAUUUCUGCGACGAGUAAUUUGAAACGGAGGGAGUAGGUG
rnacentral:pre_miRNA from 1 species